CAAAAACAUGGCUCCUUGAAUCCUAAUAAUGAGGAGUCGGACCUGCCCAGUGAAUUUUUUAACGGCCGCGGUACUCUGACCGUGCAAAGGUAGCAUAAUCAUUUGCCUUAUAAUUGAAGGCUAGUAUGAAUGGUUUGACAAGAAUGAAGCUGUCUCUUUAUAAUUUAAUAGAAUUUUAUUUUUAGGUGAAGAAGCCUAAAUAAAAUUAAAAGACAAGAAGACCCUAUCGAGCUUGAAAGAAGUUAAUAGAACUAAUUAAUUGAUAUUUAUAAAAAAUUGUCUAUUAAACAUUUUGGUUGGGGCGACUGAGGAACAUAAGAAGCUUCCUUUACAGAAUUUAAUUAAAAUCAAACUAGAAAUGAUCCAAAAUAUUUUGAUUAAAGAAAUUAGUUACCGUAGGGAUAACAGCAUUAUCUUUUUUAAGAGCUCAUAUCGAAAAAAAGGUUUGUGACCUCGAUGUUGGACCAGAAUAUCCUAAAGAUGCAGCAGUCUUUAAGGGUUGGUCUGUUCGACCAUUAAAAUUCUACGUGA
rnacentral:rRNA from 1 species